rnacentral:rRNA from 1 species
CCUAAAGUAGGUGGUAUGCUCCACCUAAGGCUAAAUAUAACUGUGAGACCGAUAGCAAACAAGUACCGUGAGGGAAAGUUGCAAAGAACUUUGAAGAGAGAGUUCAAUAGGACGUGAAACCGCUUGCAGGGAAACAGAUGGACCCACGAAGUCCUGUUGGGUAUGAGAUUCAGUGUUGUGCGAUGGUAUGUGUUGUACAGUUCAUGUACACUGGUCUCGAUCAGUGUUGCAUGUUGUUCAGCACAUAGAAAACCGUUGUACAGCACGCAUUUCUCUCAUUACCCACGCUGGAGCUCUGACUCCUCAUGAACGGUUGUUCGUGUAUUGCAAUAGCUUACAGUGGGUGUUUACUACGGUAUAUCACCACUGUAUUGCUAUGGCUUCGAAUAACUUGCAAUGAGGAGGUGAAUUAUGCACAGUAUUCACUGUGUGUAUGAUCAGGUUGUGUGGUGCCGUAAUGUGCGGUACAGAGUGAGUAGAUAAUAGGACCAUUCGUCUCUUGUAGAUGAAUACUUGUUACUCUAUCUCAUUCAUGAUGUACUCACUUAUGCAUCACUUGCAAGCAAUCCAGAGUAAGUAGGUCGGUCAUCCAUCUGA